rnacentral:rRNA from 1 species
GGGGAAGAACAAGUGCCGCAGGCAAUGGCGGCACCUUGACGGUACCUUGCGAGAAAGCCACGGCUAACUACGUGCCAGCAGCCGCGGUAAUACGUAGGUGGCAAGCGUUGUCCCGGAAUUAUUGGGCGUAAAGCGCGCGCAGGCGGCCUCUUAAAGUCUGAUGUGAAAGACCCCCGGCUCAACCCGGGGAGGGCCAUUGGAAACUGGGAGGGCUUGAGUAUAGGAGAGAAGAGUGGAAUUCCACGUGUAGCGGUGAAAUGCCGUAGAGAUGUGGAGGAACACCAGUGGCGAAGGCGACUCUUUGGCCUAUAACUGACGCUGAGGCCGCGAAAGCGUGGGGAGCAAACCAGGAUUAGAUACCCUCGGUAG